UUUUUUUUCCUACAACUCUAUUUUGCUGGGCUAUUUCAAACAUUGCUCUAAUCAGGAAACAAUUUAAAUAAUUUAAUUUUUGGAAUUCCAUAACAUUGGAUAUGUUUAGUCUCAACACAGUGCAUACGCUUCUAGUUACUGUGAGGAUAGCUUUCACGCUGAUGCCACUAGUUUUCUCAUUCCCAUAAUGCUAGUCUGACAUUCUUGGACAAUUCUACGUGAUAAUAAAACACAGACAGUCAAUGACAUCUAACAUUACUGAAGACAAUUUGCUAACAUUGUGGGCUAUAUUUGACCAUAUUGGGAAGUGACAGAGUGAGUCAGGAAAAAAAUAAAUAAUCCUGGUCUACUCCUUUGAACCUUCAGGGUGCAUUUGCAGGAUCUGCACCCCGGAUCUGAACCAGAGCAACCCAGAGCUGCAGGUCCCAUUUGUUGGCUAAGGUGGGGGAUUUUGCUUGAAGGGACUCUGAUGCUACAACCUGCUCCAUUCAGAAAAGCCUGGAUACUUGGUACACAGCGAAGGCUACUGAGGAACCGCCCUUUCAUAUUUCAUUUGGAGCCACUUGUACCUUUUGAAUGAAAUUUGGUUGUAGAAGGAGCAUGGAGGAAAGGACCCCGUAAAAUGGCAGCCAAGGCCAGUGGCACUGAAUUUCCACCAUCUAUGGCUCAAAGGUCUUCGAGUACACAGGCCUACAGAGAAUAAAGGAAAAGCCACUCGCUUUUCAUGACGAAUCUGUCCAUGGGGAGGAUUCCCAAACCAGAAGAGUCAGACUCAGCCCCAGGACCUGUGCAGGAGAUGGGAACGUGACAGUAAAAACUGUGCAGGGCAGCUUUUGUACACGCUGCUUAUUGAAAAACGUAUCACUGAGUAAUAUUCAGCAAUAUUUAAUGAACUGAAUGCAGAAGUCUUUUAACAGAGGAAGUAUGUUAAAGUGCGAACUCAAGCGUAGCAAACUCAGUUUCGAUAUCUAACAGAUGAUCUGUUUAUACCAUAAUACUCCCAUGAGACUGGGCAGCAACAGCAAAGGGCAGGAAAGCUGAAGGGUUUUAGGAGAGCUGCAUUAGUACUGGCAUGUGGAGAGAUGGAAGCACAGAUGAUUUUGUCCAAAAAAAAAAAAAAGAUUGAAUUUCUAUGUAAAGCCAAUAUUUUCAAAAAAGCCCUAUUUAUACAAAACCAACAAAUCUGCUCCAAGGAGACACACAAAGAGAUGACUGCAAAAUAAAGCUCACUUCUAUUUACCCA